GGGAGCAUAUAUAUAUAGCACUGUUUAUCUAUAUAGUUCAAACAGAUCGAAACAGACUUAACCGCAAUUCUCAUACUCAUUUAACCGGAACGUCUUGAUGAUCAUUUGCAUGGCACGUCGCAGCUGCUCUCAAACCCGCAAGUAACAAGAUACUUAUCAUAUUUAAUCAAAGAGGAUUCAUAAUUAUAAAGUCAAAUUUCCACUAUGAAAUCACCAUCAACAUGA
rnacentral:lncRNA from 1 species